UACAGAGGUGGCAAGCGUUGUUCGGAAUUACUGGGCGUAAAGGGCGCGUAGGCGGUUCGUUAAGUCCUGUGUGAAAUCCCCCGGCUCAACUGGGGAACUGCACAGGAAACUAGCGGGCUUGAGUUCGGGAGAGGGAAGCGGAAUUCCGGGUGUAGCGGUGAAAUGCGUAGAUAUCCGGAGGAACACCGGUGGCGAAGGCGGCUAUCUGGACAGAGUCUGACGCUGAGGCGCGAAAGCUAGGGGAGCAAACAGG
rnacentral:rRNA from 1 species